rnacentral:lncRNA from 10 species
CUUUGUUUAACAUUCCAAAGGCGUUCCCAGUGUCCCCCAGAGUCCUCAUUAAUUACCUGGAGAAUUACCAAGGGGUUCUUGGACAGGAUGAGAGCCUCCUUCCACUGCAACUCACCACCCCUCAUGACACUUGGAUGACGAAAAACAGCACUUGAUGAGCCCGCUGAAUAUGGACUCCAACGGUGCCCUAGGGGAUGGUGGAGCCACCAGAUGGAAGGAGCCUGGUGAUCCCGAGAAGGAGAGAUGCCUCGCUGACCUGAACAUCUUUCCAGAACUGUUAAAUGAAGCCUGCAGGACACCAGCUGACAGUGGAAGGACUGAGGAAGGUUGUAUAAUUUUGUGCAAGGUCCACCACAAAUCCAGCUGAAGAACUGCUCCAAAGUUUAGGUCAUGGCAAGAACAAGACUGGAUCACUCCAUGUCAGUGGAAACAUGUCCACCAACUUCAUCAUUGUCUGUUGUCAUGGUUCACUUUAGAUGUAAACUUGACUGGAUUAAGGAUUCCCUAAAGUGUCAGGCCUCUGAGCCCAAGCUAAGCCAUCAUAUCCCCUGUGACCUGCAUGUACACAUCCAGAUGGCCGGUUCCUGCCUUAACUGACGACAUUCCACCACAAAAGAAGUGAAAAUGGCCUGUUCCUGCCUUAACUGAUGACAUUAUCUUGUGAAAUUCCUUCUCCUGGCUCAUCCUGGCUCCAAAGCUCCCCCACUGAGCACCUUGUGACCCCCACUCCUGCCCACCAGAGAACAACCCCCUUUGACUGUAAUUUUCCUUUACCUUCCCAAAUCUUAUAAAAUGGCCCCACCCCAUCUCCCUUUGCUGACUUUCUUUUCAGACUCAGCCCUCCUGCAACCAGUUGAUUAAAAGCUUUAUUGCUC